UCUACGAUCCAAGAAACUAUUUAAUUUAGAUGAAUGGUUAAAUUUUUCUGCGUAAUUCUCAGAGAUCAACUGGAUCUGGACAACAACUGUGCUUAGUUCGACCUGUUCUAAUGACCAACACCAACCAAGUAUGAGGCAUCUUCAGGCGGCUGUUGAGAGACCUCGAAUAGGCGAUCACUGAGUUUACAGAAUUCAAGGAUGGUUAACACUCACUACAAUGGUUUCCGACCCAUAACUCCCAUCGAUCCAGAGGAGGAGCCAACUAUUAGAGAACGUGGCCAAGGCAGGGCCAGGAUAAGGGGAUGCGACAGAGGCUAAGGAAGGGCAGUGCCUGCAAGGGGUGAAGGUCAAGUUGAGGAUAUACCCAAAGAAGAAGCCCCUCCCACACCCUAGGAUGAGGUAGAAGGGAUGUAAAGGUUGAGGCAAAAGAAGAUGCUGAACAGGUGGAGGAUGCACAUGCGGCUAGGGUUGCAAGUCUUCCCCUUCUAGACCCUAUUUUAGCUUAGCAAAUCAUGACUUUCUUGAGUGGGUUGGCCUAUACUGGAGCCACUCCAACAGUGCCCGUAGCCCAAGCUUAAGUUUUUCAUUCAUUUGCUAUUGCAGUUCUUCAUACGAAUAGAAUGUUGGGCACUGAUGCCUUCCUCCUUCCACGUAUGGGCCUUGUGAUGACUAGCACUAAGCAUGAUAUGUUGACUAAGUUUCUAAAGUUGAAGCCACGAAUAUUUCAUGGUUUUGACAGCAAAGAUGCCUAUGAGUUCAUCAUUCACUAUUAUGUUAGGCUGCACUAGUUAGGUAUAGUCCACCAGCAUGGGGUUGAGUUUAUGACCUUCCAGCUUCAAGGUUAAGCCAAAAAGUAGUGAAGGGACUAUGUGGUGUGUCACUUGCCAGCUUUCCCCCCACUCACUUGGAUUCUGUUCCAUGCUCUAUUCUUGGAGAAAUAUAUACCCUGGACCUUGAGGAAUCGCAAGAAGAAUGAAUUCAUGGCAUUAGAGUAAGGUGGUAUGGCUGUGGCCACAUAUGAGGCUUAGUUUCACGCACUGUCCAAGUAUGAUACUCAACUGGUGAUUAUAGAGGAGGAGAGUAUUUGGCUGUUCCUAAAUGGAUUGAAUCCCAAGUUUCAAAUAUUAUCUGUCCAUAUGACCUCUUCAGGUAAAAACUUUAAUGAAGUGACAGACUUCGUGAAAAAGGUAGAAGGAUUACGAUGGGAUGGGCAGGCCAAAACUUUGGCUAAGAAGCCCAACAAUAUAGGUAAUUCUCAUAGAUCUUAUUUUAGAGGACCAGGAAGGCUGAUAAUUUUAGCUCGGCCGAUUCAGUCAAUUAUGCCUGCUUUUAUAGUAGUUAUUCAAGUACUCGACAAUAGAACCAUGCCCAAGAAGGCUAGGGAGCUUCCUUCAUAUCGAGCAACAGACCGUCUUUUGAGCGUGGCAGUAUUAAUUGUGGAGAACCAAAACAUAUGAGAGGAGAGUGUCCUUACACUCGUAUGACUAAUUCCACGCCACAGUAGGCUCGAGCAGUGGUACCGAUAGGCAGAGGUAGCAAUGGCAGAGGACAUCCACAAGGUGAACAAUGAGGAAACUAUAGAGGCAAUGAAGGCCGAGGUAAUGGUAAUGCAAGGUCGAGGAGAAGUGCAACUAGGCAUAGAGGUAGCCCUUCAUGAUGAAAAAGACUUAGUUUUAUGCAUACCUAGGCAAGGCCGAGGCUGAAGCGUCUAAUGUUGUGAUCAUAGGUACUAUUCUUAUUGGUGACAAGAUGAUUACUAUUUUGUUUAAUCCGGGCUCUACUUAUUCAUAUGUAUCAUUAUAGUUUUCCUUAGAAUUUGAUGCGAUUUGUGAUGUGCUUGAUGCCCCCAUUUAUGUUUCUACCCCUGUUGGAGAGUUUGUUAUAGUCACCCAUAUCUAUCAUG